rnacentral:rRNA from 1 species
GACAUAGGUGGCGAACGUUAUCCGGAAUUACUGGGCGUAAAGGGCGCGUAGGCGGCCUGCUAAGUCGAACGUGAAAUCCCCGGGCUCAACCCGGGAACUGCGUCCGAUACUGGCAGGCUUGAAUCCGGGAGAGGGAUGCGGAAUUCCAGGUGUAGCGGUGAAAUGCGUAGAUAUCUGGAGGAACACCGGUGGCGAAGGCGGCAUCCUGGACCGGCAUUGACGCUGAGGCGCGAAAGCCAGGGGAGCAAACGGG